GCACGCAGCGCUGGAGGAGCGCCAGAAGGACCCCUGGAGGUCACGCGCGCGCAGGCGGCCGCGACGCCCCGAGACGGGGCACUUCCCGCCCAAGUCACCCAAGGGUGCAGAGGGGCUGUGUUGCCAAUGUUUGGGACUUCCAUUUGGUCAUGGGCUGAACUAAUAAGUUGGGGGCCUGCUUAGUUUCUGACCAGAGGGGUUCACCUCAUCCAGGCCCUACAGAUUCAGGACCACGGCCAGCACCCACACUGCCUUCAGUAAACACUGAGCUAAAUAAACCUAGAGCCUUGGUGAUGAGAUCAGCACUGCCUUUGUAAGUUGGUUUUCUCAACAAACAUCAACUGAACAUCUACUAAACGUAAGAGCACUCUGGCUGUCAACUGAAAACAGCAGCAGCAGCAGCAGCAACACCACCACCACCAACAACGACAACUGUUGCAUAUAUAACUGAAGAUCCACAGAGUCCCUCUUUCCAGUGUUAGUUGCUACAAGGAGUGAGAGAAUGAAGAUCUGACCUCAAGGAAUACAGGAGUUUUUGUUCAAAGUUCCAAGACUAAGCUAUUAGAAGGGAGGGAGGGCCUGAUGCCAUGUCAUCUCUGACCAAGAGAAUUGGUAGAAUAGAAAAAAUCUUAUUUCUCA